rnacentral:rRNA from 1 species
UGGGGAAUCUUGGACAAUGGGGGCAACCCUGAUCCAGCCAUGCCGCGUGAGUGAUGAAGGCCUUAGGGUCGUAAAGCUCUUUCGCCUGUGAAGAUAAUGACGGUAGCAGGUAAAGAAACCCCGGCUAACUCCGUGCCAGCAGCCGCGGUAAUACGGAGGGGGUUAGCGUUGUUCGGAAUUACUGGGCGUAAAGCGCACGUAGGCGGACCAGAAAGUUGGGGGUGAAAUCCCGGGGGCUCAACCCCGGAACUGCCUCCAAAACUAUUGGUCUAGAGUUCGAGAGAGGUGAGUGGAAUUCCAAGUGUAGAGGUGAAAUUCGUAGAUAUUUGGAGGAACACCAGUGGCGAAGGCGGCUCACUGGCUCGAUACUGACGCUGAGGUGCGAAAGUGUGGGGAGCAAAACAGGAUUAGAUACCCUGGUAGUCCACACCGUAAAACGAUGAAUGCCAGUCGUCGGGUAGCAUGCUAUUCGGUGACACACCUAACGGAUUAAGCAUUCCGCCUGGGGAGUACGGUCGCAAGAUUAAAACUCAAAUGAAUUGA